CCCCUAUCCGGGUCUGCCUAAAACCCUAGUUGUCUCUGCUUUUCUCACCCUCUAUUCCUAUGUAUCAUCAUCACUAAACCCUAGCUACUCCAGUUUUAAGCGUGUCCUUUUGUACUGUUUGUAAUUGGAGAAAAUGGAAGGGGAUGCAGAAGAGAGGCAGAUUCAAGCACGAUUCGUUACAAAACUGAAAACUCCAUACAAAGUCCCAGCAACUGCCAUUACCAUCCCAGCUAAUCUCACCCGUCUCGGCCUCUCCACCAUCGUCAGUAGCCUCCUCAAUGCCGGGAAUCCUGAUUGGGAGAAUCAACCAUUUGAUUUUCUUAUUGAUGGAGAGCUUGUUCGAAUGUCACUUGAGCAGUUUCUUCUUGCUAAGGGCAUUUCCGCGGAGAAGAUAAUAGAAAUUGAAUACAUUAAGGCAGUUGUCCCUCGGAAACAGGAGGAGCCUUCUUUGCAUGAUGACUGGGUCAGUGCAGCUGAUGGUUCUUGUCCUCGGUUCAUUUUGACAGGGUGCUAUGAUGGUCUUGGAAGGGUGUGGAAAGCUGCUGGCCUAUGUACACAUAUGCUAGAGGGACACAGUGAUGCAAUUACUUCUGUUAGUAUCAUUUUCUCAGGAGCUGAGGAUAGUUUUACGGUAGCCACUGCCUCAAAAGAUCAAACUCUCAGGCUUUGGAAGUUUGAUACAGAAGAACCUGAAAAUUCUCCUGCAAACAUUAGGGCUUUCAAAAUUUUGCGUGGGCAUAAUGCAUCUGUGCAAAGUGUUGCUGCUGAAACUUCUGGAAGCAUGAUUUGUUCGGGUUCUUGGGAUUGUACGAUCAAUUUAUGGAAGACGGAUGAGUCCGAUACAGAAGGUGAUUUAGUGUCAAUUAAGAAGAGAAAAGUGAAAAACAAAGCCAAGGAAUCUCAGUUGGAGGGGGAGGCUAUGUCCACACUUGUGGGCCAUACACAACGUGUAUCCUCUGUUGUUUGGCCAGAACAUGAAACAAUCUACUCUGCAUCAUGGGAUCACUCUAUCAGACGUUGGGAUGUUGAGACAGGCAAAGAUUCAGCAAAAAUAUUCUGUGGAAAAGCUCUCAACUACCUUCAUGUUGGAGGUGAAGGUUCAGCUCUCAUUGCUGCUGGGGCCUCUGACCCCAUCCUUAGGAUAUGGGAUCCACGAAAACCAGGAACUUCUGCUCCUAUUUAUCAGUUCUGUUCUCACACUUCUUGGGUUUCGGCUUGCAAGUGGCAUGAUAAAUCUUGGUUUCAUUUACUUUCUGCAUCCUAUGAUGGGAAAGUUAUGUUGUGGGAUCUAAGAACUGCGGUAGUUGGCCUCUGGCUGUUAUUGAAUCACACGAAGACAAGGUGCUAUGUGUUGAUUGGUGGAGGGGUGACAAUUUAGUCAGUGGUGGGGUUGACUGCAAGCUAUGCAUUUCUUCUGAUUCUUCUGUGCAGUAAGGGAAGAAUUAUAGAGAUAGAUGGAAGUAACUUCUGGAGAAGAUGUUUUUGAUACUGAAGGAACAUUUUCUGUCUCGGCCUUGUUAACUCAAGCGAGAUGGGGAAACCUGAUUCUGCAUCAACUGCGGAGCUGAAGCUGAUUGAAGAGUUUAAACUCUAGUCAAUUUUGUUCAAGACGCUUUGAUGUAAUGUGAAUAGUAGCAACCCUGAUUUAGUGUUUUUUUUUUUUUUUGGCUGGGGUGCUUCUGAGAGUACGGUGGAUCACUGAGCCAAGAAUUUUUUGAUAAAAUUAUAUAUACCGAGAGAAAUUGAUUUGUUAGGUUUUAGUUUUGGUGGAAAAUUGAUUUGUAGAAAUGGAAAAUUAGACUUCAGCACAAGUGUUAUGCAUUUGGUGGCUGUGUCUUUUUCUUUUUGUUGAUGAUGAAUUAAUGAUGGAUAUUAACAUAA